rnacentral:rRNA from 1 species
CUGGCAUCGAUGAAGAACGCAGCGAAAUGCGAUACGUAGUGUGAAUUGCAGAAUUCAGUGAAUCAUCGAAUCUUUGAACGCACAUUGCGCCCUUUGGUAUUCCAAAGGGCAUGCCUGUUCGAGCGUCAUUUGUACCCUCAAGCUUUGCUUGGUGUUG